rnacentral:rRNA from 1 species
CAGUAGCCACGGUAAUACGAAGGGGGCUAGCGUUGUUCGGAAUUACUGGGCUUAAAGCGCACGUAGGCGGAUAUUUAAGUCAGGGGUGAAAUCCCAGAGCUCAACUCUGGAACUGCCUUUGAUACUGGGUAUCUUGAGUAUGGAAGAGGUGAGUGGAAUUCCGAGUGUAGGGGUGAAAUUCGUAGAUAUUCGGAGGAACACCAGUGGCGAAGGCGGCUCACUGGUCCAUUACUGACGCUGAGGUGCGAAAGCGUGGGGAGCAAACAGGAUUAGAUACCCGUGUAGUCCCUGUCUCUUAUAC